rnacentral:rRNA from 1 species
CCUACGGGAGGCAGCAGUGGGGAAUAUUGGACAAUGGGGGCAACCCUGAUCCAGCCAUGCCGCGUGUGUGAAGAAGGCCCUCGGGUUGUAAAGCACUUUCAGUGAGGAAGAACGCCUGGUGGUUAAUACCCAUCAGGAAAGACAUCACUCACAGAAGAAGCACCGGCUAACUCCGUGCCAGCAGCCGCGGUAAUACGGAGGGUGCGAGCGUUAAUCGGAAUUACUGGGCGUAAAGCGCGCGUAGGUGGCUUGAUAAGCCGGUUGUGAAAGCCCCGGGCUCAACCUGGGAACGGCAUCCGGAACUGUCAAGCUAGAGUGCAGGAGAGGAAGGUAGAAUUCCCGGUGUAGCGGUGAAAUGCGUAGAGAUCGGGAGGAAGACCAGUGGCGAAGGCGGCCUUCUGGACUGACACUGACGCUGAGGUGCGAAAGCGUGGGUAGCAAACAGGAUUAGAUACCCGAGUAGUC